rnacentral:rRNA from 1 species
GACGAACGCUGGCGGCGUGCUUAACACAUGCAAGUCGAGCGGUAAGGCUCCUUCGGGGGUACAGGAGCGGCGAACGGGUGAGUAACACGUGAGUAAUCUGCCCCUGGCUCUGGGAUAAGCACCCGAAAGGGAGUCUAAUACCGGGAACGACAACUCCUCGCAAGGGGUGGUUGUGGAAAGUUAUCUCGGGCAGGGGUGUGCUCGCGGCCGACCAGCUUGUUGGUGGGGUAAUGGCCUACCAAGGCUUUGGCGGGUAGCCGGCCUGCGAGGGUGACCGGUCACACUGGGACUGAGACACGGCCCAGAGUCCUACGGGAGGCAGCAGUGUGGAAUAUUGGACAAUGGGCGGAAGCCUGAUCCAGCAACGCCGCGUGAGGGAUGACGGCCUUCGGGUUGUAAACCUCUUUCAGUACCGACGAAGCGACCCGUUGGGGGAGUGACAGUAGGUACAGAAGAAGCACCGGCCAACUACGUGCCAGCCGCCGCCGUAACAC